AAGGAGUUUUACGUUUGUGCGAGUGUGUGGGUAGCAAACCCAUGCGCGUAAUGAAAGUGAUCGUAACGAACCGCAAGGGCCAGUUAUGACCGAACUCGAUUGUCGGAGACAGGUUUGAGUAUGAGAACAGCCGUAAAGACCCGAAAGAAGGUGAACCUUGCCUGAUAGGGUGAAGCCAGGGGAAACUCUGGUGGAGGCUCGUAGCGAUUCUGACGUGCAAAUCGAUCGUCAAAUCUGGGUAUAGGGGCGAAAGACUAAUCGAACCAUGUAGUAGCUGGUUCCUCC
rnacentral:misc_RNA from 1 species